rnacentral:tRNA from 1 species
UUAAUUGAAGCCAAAAAGAGGCAUAUCAUUGUUAAUGAUAUCAUUGGAAAUUUAUUCCCAAUUAAA